AUUGGCGUUCGUGUUGGAGGACCAAUCCAUGGACUCGUCGUGUAUCCGGGAGUGGGCUCAUCAUCAAUAUAGAGCCUCGUAUGGUGGAGUAGUUCUCGUUCAGUCCCAUUAAGAACUGCAUGACUCUCUCUUUCUCUUCCCUGUCUGCAUGUGCCUUGGAUCCUUCGCAUUCACAAGCAAUGGGCUCAUGGUAUGAUGCUAAUUCAUCCCAAAGAGCUUUUAAUUUUGUGUAAUAAUCUGAAACAGAUAGCUGUCCUUGUCGGUGUUCGACAAUCUCUUGUCGAAUUUGAUAGAUCCUGGAAUCGUUGC
rnacentral:lncRNA from 1 species